UGCUUGCUGGAGCGUCUGGUCAGGUACUGUCCCUAGACCAAGCACCCCUUUAGCGCGUUCAUCUUGGGGCUGCAGGAACUCCCACAAAACCCCGCUCCCCGAGAACGUUUGGAGACUGGCUCUCCACUACGACCGAGAGGAAGGGGACUCGUCCAACCAUUACGACAGCCACGCUUUACAGCAGCCGCCUUUUGCAAUAGCCGUAUUUUACGACAGCCGCACCUGACGGUACCCGCCAAAGAGGGGAAAACGUGGCUCUCGACAGAGCGAUUUCUACUUGUACGUUGAGUACGAGUGGAGCUAGAGGAAGCAGCCGUCAAGAACAAUGGUGUUCCCGGGCAUAGGUGCAGAUUCUCUGCGGAAACCCACCCAGGAAGCCGCAUGGCUCCCAGGUCUCCGAGCUCUGAAGCAUCCCAGAGUCAAAACUCUGGUCUUGGCUAACAGUGACUGAGAAGCGGAUGGUACUCGAAAACAUAGAUUCGCGAAGGAUAUAUGUAUUUCAUCUCAAGGAAGAUGUGUUGUUGGAGGAAGGGUGAGAUUCUAGAAGAAUAAUUACCCAUUGUUGGUACCCCCGCGAAGCAUCCAGAAAGCAACAGGCUUUGGCCUGUAACCCUGGUGGGCUUUAAAAAUGUGAUGACGGCGACAGCGUUCUCAGGGCCGUUAGCUACUUCGUUCAUUCGUUCAUUCAUUCAGCAAACACUACACCCACUGUGUGCCUCACACGGUUCUAGAUAUAGCAGGCACGGCAGAGAACAAAUGCCUGCCCUCAUGGGGCUGACAUUCUGGCAUGCAGCUGUUUUGCAAAAAGAAUUCUGGAAUAUGAGGGUCAGGAAAGAAUCAAGAGAAGAGUUUGGAUCCAGGGUCCUGCAGGGAUGUAUGAAGUAUCUUCCAGCCUUUCUAGUGGUCUCAGUUUCCUGAAGUGAAACCUUGGAUAUAUAUGCCUUGACAAGAAGCCUGUUGAGAGAAAAUUACUGGGCCAAAGAUUGUGAAUGUUUUCCAGGCUCAAGAAACAUAUGGCUAAAUUUCCCUCCCGUCAGUGAUUAUGACACAACACUUUGAGAAAGUCCUCCCCAAAG